UGUGUGUGCAUAUUUGCAGCCACCUAAGGCUAGGUUCACACUGCAGGCUGAAGUGACCCAAAUCCGAUUUCUUUGCCCCAUGCGACCUGUAUUGUCUGUUCAUAACAGUUAAAAU